AUGGCGAAGUCAAAUGUGUUUAAUUCGCUUUACAAAUCACAAUGCCUACCAAGGAAAGAAUCAAAUGGAAAAGAGAAGAAGCGGUGAAGGUUAAAGCAAGGAAGUGUCGCCGACUAAUAGAUUUCUUCGCUCCUAACAGACCGGACGAGUCAGAGGUAGUUUCCUAUGAAAAUUCAAGGGCACACGAGACAGAGUCAGUUAAUCCAACACAGAAGAAAGAUGGUG